GUAGCGUUUGCCAAAGUCGCCCCAUUAAUAAGCAACAUAUUUGAUUUGCAAUGUGAAACGUAUUAUCUCAGGGCCUGCAAAGAGAUUAAAAAAAAGACACAAGACGUAUGGUUGGGGCAGAAUUAUUCAGCAGAGUGUGGGAGAGGUGUCGUGCUGCCCCGGGGCGCCAACAUGCUGUGGAUGGGUGAGAACGCCGAGCUGCGAACAUGGAGCCCGCCAUCUCAGACGCCCCAGAGAUCCCCGGUGAUGAAGAAAGGAAGGACGGAGUCCCACAGAGGGCUGUGUGGAUGAAACUGCGUCCGUCCUCCCCACUUGAACGACUCACUGAAAGCCUUGAGUUAUAUUCCUGCAAUUAGCUAAGUAUCCACAGAGGCUCUCUGUCCCUGUCGACUUUAAGGCUCAUCCCUGUAGAUACGACGCAACAACAAAAAACAGCAACAAGACGAACCAACAGGGGGAAAAGAAAAAUCAACGCAUCAAAAAACAAACUUUACACAAUGACCCCGCUUCAUGUUUGCAACUUUUUUUUCCCCCUUACACCUUGCAUCUUUUCUUCUGUCACGAGCAUAAAGGGUAACGGCAAUCCAUCCCUUUUUUCCUCUUCCAAGGAUAAUGAUUUACAAAAUGCCUCUCAUCAAAGAAUUCAUUAACAACGAGCGUUAAUUAAAAAAUAAAUGAGUAAACAUCAAUAUCAAAUCUCAGCACUGUGGAAGGGAAUGCAUUAUGCAGAGUAAUGAUGUUUGAAAGGGGCUUUAGCACCUCUGUGGGACUCUUUUAAACCCCUUACCUCUUAGGCAGUUGCUUAUUUUGCAACCCUUUGUUGUUUAACAACAAAGAGAAUGGGCCCUCAUAAUGUUAUAUUAAUCAGCGGAUUAAUAUUUCAAUUUGAUUUGCUUUAUAGUUGAGGUGCUGUUGGCAUUUCCAUUUUCCCUCCAUAUGUGCAGCGAUGUUAAGUGGUAUCAUUACCAUUUUCUACCUGGGGGUUCGGGGAGAUAACAGGCACCAGUGAUAGCUCUAUUCUGAGGGGGGAGAGGGAGGUUUCUGCGUGGGGAGGAGGGCACUCAUGCAUUUUUUAAAGGUCCUUGUUUGGUGUGCCUUCACAUCCAUUAUUCUCAAAUGUUUCAGGCAAACAGCUGAGUCACAGACUUUCUGUCCACCACAGAAACACCCCGAUGAUCUGAAUUAGGGUCAGUAGUUAAAAACGAGGUUCCAUAUAUGUUUUAUUUACAUUCUGUUUGACAACCAUGAGCUAAAUUAAGGUCUGCUGUUAACCAGCUCAUAUCGUCUAUAAGAGUAUAAAUGAAAAUGACAGACAGAAAGUACA